AACGAACGCUGGCGGCAUGCCUAACACAUGCAAGUCGAACGAGACCUUCGGGUCUAGUGGCGCACGGGUGCGUAACGCGUGGGAACCUGCCCUUAGGUUCGGAAUAACUCCCCGAAAGGGGUGCUAAUACCGGAUAAUGUCUUCGGACCAAAGAUUUAUCGCUUGUGGAUGGGCCCGCGUUGGAUUAGCUAGUUGGUAGGGUAAAAGCCUACCAAGGCCACGAUCCAUAGCUGGUCUGGGAGGAUGAUCAGCCACACUGGGACUGGGACAAGGCCCAGACCCAGACGCCUGGGGGAGGUGGGGAGGGGUGUACUAGGGGAGGGGGCGAGAGCCAGCAACGCCAAGUGCGGGAUGGGGGUAAGGGCGUUGGGGUGUGAAGUCCCUUUUCCCGGAGCGUGAAUGAAGGGAACGGGUAAAGAAGCCCCGGAUAACUCCGUG
rnacentral:rRNA from 1 species